rnacentral:rRNA from 1 species
CAGCCGCGGUAAUACGGAGGGUGCGAGCGUUAAUCGGAAUUACUGGGCGUAAAGCGCACGUAGGCUGUAUAUCAAGUCAAGGGUGAAAUCCCCGGGCUCAACCUGGGAACUGCCUUUGAAACUGGUAAACUGGAGUAUGUGAGAGGGUGGCGGAAUUCCUGGUGUAGGAGUGAAAUCCGUAGAUAUCAGGAGGAACAUCAGUGGCGAAGGCGGCCACCUGGCACAAAACUGACGCUGAGGUGCGAAAGCGUGGGUAGCAAACAGGAUUAGAUACCCUGGUAGUCCACGCUGUAAACGAUGGAUACUGGGUGUUGGGAUGUAUGUCUCGGCGCCGUAGCUAACGCGUUAAGUAUCCCGCCUGGGGAGUACGGUCGCAAGGCUGAAACUCAAAGAAAUUGACGGGGGCCCGCACAAGCGGUGGAGUAUGUGGUUUAAUUCGAUGCAACGCGAAGAACCUUACCCAGGCUUGACAUCUAGGGAGCCUCUUUGAAAGAAGAGGGUGCUCUUCGGAGAACCCUAAGACAGGUGCUGCAUGGCUGUCGUCAGCUCGUGCCGUGGGGUGUUGGGUUAAGUCCCGCAACGAGCGCAACCCCUGUCCUUAGUUGCCAUCGAGUAAGGUCGGGCACUCUAAGGAGACCGCCCCGGUUAACGGGGAGGAAGGUGGGGACGACGUCAAGUCAUCAUGGCCCUUACGCCUGGGGCUACACACGUACUACAAUGGCGCAUACAAAGGAAGCGAGACCGCGAGGUGGAGCCAAUCUCAAAAAAUGCGUCCCAGUCCGGAUUGGAGUCUGCAACUCGACUCCAUGAAGUCGGAAUCGCUAGUAAUUCUGGAUCAGCAUGCCAGGGUGAAUGCGUUCCCGGGCCUUGUACACACCGCCCGUCACACCACGAAAGUCGGUUUUACCCGAAGCCGGUGAGCCAACAAGCAAUUGAGGCAUCCGUCUACGGUAGGCCCGAUGAUUGGGGUGAAGUCGUAACAAGGUAGC